rnacentral:rRNA from 1 species
UACGGAGGGUGCGAGCGUUGUUCGGAAUUACUGGGCGUAAAGGGCGCGUAGGCGGCACAGCAAGUCGGGAGUGAAAGCCCGGGGCUCAACCGUGGAACGGCCUCGGAUACGGGCGGCCUGGAGGCGGGUAGGGGCAGGCGGAACUGCGGGUGGAGCGGUGAAAUGCGUUGAGAUCCACAGGAACUCCGGUGGCGAAGGCGGCCUGCUGGACCCGAACUGACGCUGAGGCGCGAAAGCCAGGGGAGCGAACGGG